UUUUGUAACUUACUGUGAUGGCUCUCUUACAAGUUAAGAUGCAUCGCUUUGUUCAUCUUGUUUUGAUUCAUCUGUUUGGUAUUACGUCUUCUUUUCUUUCAGCUCCCCUGGAAAACAGUUUGUCUCCUUCAGAUAAAAGUGGGCCAGAAGUGACAAUUCAUGUCCUCCCAGAAGAGGAUAUCAAACAACAAAGCAAAAAUGAGGUCACUCUGGUGUGUCUGGUCUACAGCCCUGUGCAACAGGAUUUCACAAUAUCCUGGACAGAAGAUAGUGGACGAAAGAAUGGCGUCUAUACAGAUGGCAUCACCUUCCCCCCACAGAAGUCCAAACAAGGCUACUUAGUUACAAGUGUUUACACCACCACCAAGGAAAAAUGGGAUAACGGGUAUAAGUUUGGGUGCAACGUGUGGCCUGCUGGCAGCAACAGCUCCAUAAAACUACGACAAGUGUCUAACGCCCAGGAUUUUACUCCAGAGUCGAAACUGAAUUUUGCUCUGAGCUGCAAAGAUGAUUUUAAUGAAGAGGAUGAGCUCAGCAGUCUGUGGUCCACAGCCUCCUCCUUCAUUUUCCUCUUCAUAUCUUCUCUCCUCUAUAGCAUGAUAUUCAGCGUAGUCAAGAUGAAGAGACGGUAAAGGAUGAGAUGGAUGCACAGAAGAGACGACUAAAGGGUCUUCAUUUAUUUUUUGUCUUUUUUUACUAAGUGGAUCAUCAUCUAUAAUAAUUAACUAGCUGAUUGAAAAUGUCUCUGUAACCUGUAGAAAAAACAAAAAUGCUACUGUAUUUCUUAAAUUUUUAUCUAAAUAAAUGUGUGUAUUGUUGUUACAUAAGGAUGACAGAAGUUGUUGAUUACUUUGCUUUUCAUUGAUAAACAAAUAAUAAUUCUACCACAGUGGACAUACAGAUAGAAAUAUAUCCUGUAUGCAGGUUUUCAUUUUGCAAUUUAACUAUAAAUCUUUGCUCUUCUUUGGUCAUUUUGGCCAUUUGUGUUUGCUUCCUCAUUAAUUCAACACAUACAAUAGAUAUGAUUUGUGCAGCCACAUGGAAAUUAAAGGCGAUAUAAACAUGAGUAUUGGUGUGAUUCUAAUAAAUAUCAAAAGCUUUU